rnacentral:piRNA from 1 species
UGCUUCUCGAAACCUGAAAAAGCCCAUGGUA